rnacentral:rRNA from 1 species
AACGAACGCUGGCGGCAGGCCUAAAACAUGCAAGUCGAGCGGGCAUAGCAAUAUGUCAGCGGCGGACGGGUGAAUAACACGUGGGAACAUGCCCUUUGGUACGGAACAACUCAGGGAAACUUGAGCUAAUACCGUAUGUGCCGGUAACGGGAAAGAUUUAUCGCCAAAGGAUUGGCCCGCGUCCGAUUAGCUAGUUGGUGAGGUAACGGCUCACCAAGGCGACGAUCGGUAGCUGGUUUGAGAGAACGGAUCAGCCACACUGGGACUGAGACACGGCCCAGACUCCUACGGGAGGCAGCAGUUGGGAAUCUUGGACGAUGGGGAAACCCUGAUCCAGCCAUGCCGCGUGAGCGAU